rnacentral:rRNA from 1 species
GAUAAACGCUGACAGAAUGCUUAACACAUGCAAGUCUACUUGAAUUUGGGUUUUUAACUUACAUUUGGGUGGCGGACGGGUGAGUAACGCGUAAAGAACUUGCCUCACAGCUAGGGACAACAUUUAGAAAUGAAUGCUAAUACCUAAUAUUAUGAUAAUAGGGCAUCCUAUAAUUAUGAAAGCUAUAAGCGCUGUGAGAGAGCUUUGCGUCCCAUUAGCUAGUUGGAGAGGUAACGGCUCACCAAGGCGAUGAUGGGUAGCCGGCCUGAGAGGGUGAUCGGCCACAAGGGGACUGAGACCCGGCCCUUACUCCUACGGGAGGCAGCAGUGGGGAAUAUUGGACAAUGGACCCAGAGUCUGAUCCAGCAAUUCUGUGUGCACGAUGAAGUUUUCUGAAUGUAAACUGCUUUCAGUUGGGAAGAAAAAAAUGACGGUACCAACAGAAGAAGCGACGGCUAAAUACCUGCCAGCAGCCGCGGCAUACGUAUGUCACGAGCGUUAUCCGGAUUUAUUGGGCGUAGAGCGCGCCUAUGUUGUUAUAUAAGUCUGAUGUGAAAAUGCAGGGUUCAACUCUGUAUUGCGUUGGAAACUGUUUUACUCUAUUUCUGGAGAGGUUAGCCCAACUACCAGUGUCGAGGUGACUUUUAAAUAUUUCUCCUGCACGCCGACGGGGAACCCGCUUACUGGACUCAUACUGACGCUGAACUCUCUAGCGUGCGUCGCCACACGUAUGUACAUAUCUGUAUUUCAAGGGGCAAUUCUCUUUUGGUCUUUUUUUGUCAUCUCCCUAUCUUUUUGGGGUCUCGGCCUAACAACACUCCCUCUUCUAUGGUGUCCAUUUAUGUGGGGGGGGGGGUGGGGGG